rnacentral:rRNA from 1 species
UACGUAGGGUGCAAGCGUUGUCCGGAAUUAUUGGGCGUAAAGAGCUCGUAGGCGGUUUGUCGCGUCGUUCGUGAAAACUCACAGCUUAACUGUGAGCUUGCGGUCGAUACGGGCAGGCUAGAGUUCGGUAGGGGAGACUGGAAUUCCUGGUGUAGCGGUGAAAUGCGCAGAUAUCAGGAGGAACACCGGUGGCGAAGGCGGGUCUCUGGGCCGAUACUGACGCUGAGGAGCGAAGCGUGGGAGCGAACAGG